CAGCAGGGUGGGAGGGAGAUGCUGGUACAGAGGCUUGGGGUUUUGAGGGCAUCUUAGCAGUAUCUCCCAUCCACCCACCUGGG
ensembl:miRNA Mir1941 microRNA 1941